rnacentral:pre_miRNA from 2 species
AACAUUCAACGCUGUCGGUGAGUUUUAGACAUUGAAAAACCAUCGACCGUUGACUGUGCC